UGGUUAAUGCCUGACUGCAGUCUUCUUGGGCAGUCACAUGACCCUUUAGUUUUUUGCGUCACUCCAUACCAUGAACUUAUUUGAACCUAUCUCUAUUUCAAAACACUUAACUUUUUUUGCAAAACACCCCUAACUUUAUAAAUAACAUCUGUAAGAACUGCCGCUAUACUUAAUUGUACACAUUUUCUGUGCGACGGUGAACAAGUUGUCGGUUUAAACCACACAGCCAAAGAGCAAUCCGUAAGAAUAAUCUAACUAAUUAAGGUAAUUACACAAGUAGCCUUAUUAAGACAUCCUGAUAAAGGAGAGGGAGGAAGCCACCUGACAAGGAGACGAGGAAAGGUAUGGAAAAGCUAUAGUCGGCUCGCAAGAUAGGAAGAAAUGACUGUCUACACGUCAGACGGGAGUUACCGAACACCCGUGACGUGGGCUAGUCCUCCCGUGACCCCGACCGCCAGCUCGCUCACUAUACCUCCCCCCCGUCGUCUCUGGCCCACUCCAACUCCCAGCUCCUCCUUAUACUGCGAACCAGGAAGCGGCUUGCCCUACUUACGCCACGCCGCGGAUUGGCUCUGGCGGUCCAGGGACAACCGGUGGGGUUGGGGGUCGGACAUGGCGCGAUAGGCUAAUGCUGAUGUCUGUCGCUGCGAUGAGGAAAGGAGGGGGUCCAUAAUAUUGAUCGCAGGUUGAAUUCCUGGGAUGAAGCUCGCGCUAGUAGGCUGUAAGGGUGGGCGAAUGCACAGUGAGCGUGUUGCUGACAAAAACGGUAUUUAUAUUCAAAUAAAUGUACGUGUUUGCUGUGCCAGUUGAAAUGUACUGUACUGCUGUUAGCACUAUCGCUGCACUUCUGCUUUCUAUCUCAUUGUGAUUAAAGUGAUGAGACACUA